CUCCCAGGCGGGGAAUCUAACCCCGGUCGCUCGCAUGACAGGCGGGAAUACUAACCACUAUUCUACCGAGAA
rnacentral:tRNA from 1 species